AAAACUAUACUUUCUGGGAUCAUUUGUAUAGUUUGUUACUAGAGAAGUUCCUCUGGAUGUGCAGAGCACUAAAGACCAUGAGGAUGAAGUGUAGAGCUCUCCUCUAAGCAUGAAGCGGCUCUUGGUGUUGCUUCAUUGCACCUGCCACCUCCCAUUGAUGAUCAUUCUUCUCUCAGAAUAAGAGUAGGAGAACACAGUCUGCAUGGU